AUUGAACGCUGGCGGCAGGCUUAACACAUGCAAGUCGAGCGGAGAUGAGGUGCUUGCACCUUAUCUUAGCGGCGGACGGGUGAGUAAUGCUUAGGAAUCUGCCUAUUAGUGGGGGACAACAUUCCGAAAGGAAUGCUAAUACCGCAUACGCCCUACGGGGGAAAGCAGGGGAUCUUCGGACCUUGCGCUAAUAGAUGAGCCUAAGUCGGAUUAGCUAGUUGGUGGGGUAAAGGCCUACCAAGGCGACGAUCUGUAGCGGGUCUGAGAGGAUGAUCCGCCACACUGGGACUGGAACACGGCCCAGACUCCUACGGGAGGCAGCAGUGGGGAAUAUUGGACAAUGGGCGGAAGCCUGAUCCAGCCAUGCCGCGUGUGUGAAGAAGGCCUUUUGGUUGUAAAGCACUUUAAGCGAGGAGGAGGCUACCUGGAUUAAUACUCUAGGAUAGUGGACGUUACUCGCAGAAUAAGCACCGGCUAACUCUGUGCCAGCCGCCGCCGUAAUAC
rnacentral:rRNA from 1 species